rnacentral:rRNA from 1 species
ACUAUUCGCUAAAGGG